GAUGAAGAACGUAGCGAAAUGCGAUACGUAAUGUGAAUUGCAGAAUUCAGUGAAUCAUCGAGUCUUUGAACGCACAUUGCGCCCCCUGGUAUUCCGGGGGGCAUGCCUGUCCGAGCGUCAUUGCUGCCCUCAAGCACGGCUUGUGUGUUGGGCCUCCGUCCUCCUCCCGGGGGACGGGCCCGAAAGGCAGCGGCGGCACCGUGUCCGGUCCUCGAGCGUAUGGGGCUUCGUCACCCGCUCUUGUAGGCCCGGCCGGCGCUUGCCGACACAUCAAUCUUUUUUCCAGGUUGACCUCGGAUCAGGUAGGGAUACCCGCUGAACUUAAGCAUAUCAAUAAGCGGAGGA
rnacentral:misc_RNA from 1 species